GGAUUCCCCUAGUAACUGCGAGUGAAGCGGGAAGAGCUCAAAUUUGAAAUCUGGCGGUUCUUUGACUGUCCGAGUUGUAAUCUAGAGAAGUGCUACCUGUGCUGGACCAUGUACAAGUCUCCUGGAAUGGAGCAUCAUAGAGGGUGAGAAUCCCGUCUUUGACAUGGACUACCUGUACGUUAUGGUGCGCUCUCGAAGAGUCGAGUUGUUUGGGAAUGCAGCUCAAAAUGGGUGGUAAAUGCCAUCUAAAGCUAAAUAUUGGCGAGAGACCGAUAGCGAACAAGUACCGUGAGGGAAAGAUGAAAAGAACUUUGGAAAGAGAGUUAAACAGUACGUGAAAUUGCUGAAAGGGAAACGCUUGAAGUCAGUCGCGUUGGCUAGAAAUCAGCCUUGCUUUUGCUUGGUGUACUUUCUGGUUGACGGGUCAGCAUCAGUUUUGACCAUUGGAUAAAGUCUUUGGGAAUGUGGCAUCUUUGGAUGUGUUAUAGCCCAUUGUCACAUACGAUGGUUGGGAUUGAGGAACUCAGCACGCCGCAAGGCCGGGUUUCGACCACGUUCGUGCUUAGGAUGCUGGCAUAAUGGCUUUAAUCGACCCGUCUUGAAACACGGACCAAGGAGUCUAACAUGCCUGCGAGUGUUUGGGUGGAAAACCCAUGCGCGUAAUGAAAGUGAAAGUUGAGAUCCCUGUAACAAGGGGAGCAUUGACGCCCGGACCAGACCUUCUGUGACGGAUCCGCGGUAGAGCAUGUAUGUUGGGACCCGAAAGAUGGUGAACUAUGCCUGAAUAGGGUGAAGCCAGAGGAAACUCUGGUGGAGGCUCGUAGCGAUUCUGACGUGCAAAUCGAUCGUCAAAUUUGGGUAUAGGGGCGAAAGACUAAUCGAACCAUCUAGUAGCUGGUUCCUGCC
rnacentral:rRNA from 1 species